UAUUCAAUUUCAAAUUACAUUAUUGUUGUUUGGUUUGCUAUAAUUGAAAAUGUUGUAUUUUUUUUUUAACUAUUUGGUUUGAUCUAAUAAGUUGAGUGAUAUGGUCACAAUGUCAUAGGUGGAAGGUAAGAUUAUGUCCAUCCCUAUCCAAAUCAUCAUGUUUUAUUUCUAUUGUGAAACCAUGAUAUGAUAAUGUUCUUUGGAUCAUCUUGAUCAUAUUUUGUGCAGAGUUCAUAGAUUGAUUAAUUUACUUUUUCUGUUGAAAAUAAUGGUUGUCUAUUUGAUUUCUAUUGAUCAUUUGCUGAACUGCUAGUUGUUGUUCUUUGUAAAAAAGAUUUCUUUUUGACUUUUAUUAAUAUGAUUAUUCUCUUCAGAUUAUAGUUUAGUUCUCUUGAUAAUCUAAUGCAGAUAUGUGGCAGAUAAAACCAAGAGCAAGGUAAACCUCACGGACGUCACCGUUGAUUUUUAUUUCACAAUAAAUUUUCCAUAGUAUGCAUAUUUUCAUGUCUAUGCAGAAACUCCUGUUUAAUCUCAACCUCUGAUACAUGACCUUUGUUUUCUUUUCUAAACCAAAUCUUAGCUUAUAAGAACCUCUUCUAUUUGCUAUCAGAAUGAAGUAUUCAGAUCUUGGAAUUGUUUGUCAAAAAUUACAUCACUGUUGUUGUAAGCAGGAGAUAAUGAGACAAGAGAAAGUUGAAGUCAUGAUCUUUUUUGGUGAAGAAAAUAUCUCCUUCAUACAGAUAUGACCAGCAAACUGCUCAUGGAAAUCAAACAUGAAUUUUUUUUCGACAACGUGGAGAGACAUGGGAGUAAGAUCGACUUUUGUGAAUUUCUUGAUCAAGUCCUUUCCUUACACAAUGAUCUGAACUUUCUUCUGGUGAGCUCACUGUGUCAAAAUUUCAAAAGUUUUGACAAGUUCAAGACUCUUGAUAUUUUCGAUGUAGAGAUUUCUUCGCUUGAAUUUGAUGACUUGAACUCUUGAUGUCCUCAAUUAAAUCAACUGUAAGAGUUGUCACUGGUAAAAUACAAUUAUCUACACAUUUACUCAGAAAACUUUCCAUGUUUAAGUAUAUGAUCAGAUAUACUCUUAGACAUCA